AGAGAGAAUAGAGACUAAUUAGAGAGAAAAUGGGCAUGUCAACGAAGUCAGUUUCUACAUUCGCCAUCUACUUCAUCCUCCUGUUUGUCUCUGAAAUAGCUGAGAUAGGAGCUCAGGAUGGUAGCCAGACAGCCAGUGCCUGAAAGAAUUCAGCGGUUCGCCUUUAACCUAUUGUACGGCUAGGGUUUUUCCGUCGCUGUGUUAUCAUGCCUGUCGUUCCAACAAGGGCGCGAAAGGUGGGAAAUGCGAUGGUGAUCUUAAAUGCAUCUGCAACUUCUGCAGCGACAAACCUUACUAUCAGUUUCUAAGUAAUGUU